rnacentral:rRNA from 2 species
AGAUCAGGCCUAAAACAUGCAAGUCGAGCGGAUGAAAGGAGCUUGCUCCUGGAUUCAGCGGCGGACGGGUGAGUAAUGCCUAGGAAUCUGCCUGGUAGUGGGGGACAACGUUUCGAAAGGAACGCUAAUACCGCAUACGUCCUACGGGAGAAAGCAGGGGACCUUCGGGCCUUGCGCUAUCAGAUGAGCCUAGGUCGGAUUAGCUAGUUGGUGAGGUAAUGGCUCACCAAGGCGACGAUCCGUAACUGGUCUGAGAGGAUGAUCAGUCACACUGGAACUGAGACACGGUCCAGACUCCUACGGGAGGCAGCAGUGGGGAAUAUUGGACAAUGGGCGAAAGCCUGAUCCAGCCAUGCCGCGUGUGUGAAGAAGGUCUUCGGAUUGUAAAGCACUUUAAGUUGGGAGGAAGGGCAGUAAAUUAAUACUUUGCUGUUUUGACGUUACCGACAGAAUAAGCACCGGCUAACUCUGUGCCAGCAGCGGCGGUAAUG